rnacentral:rRNA from 1 species
GACGAACGCUGGCGGCGUGCUUAACACAUGCAAGUCGAACGAUGAACCCGGAGCUUGCUCCGGCGGAUUAGUGGCGAACGGGUGAGUAACACGUGAGUAACCUGCCCUUGACUCUGGGAUAACUGCGGGAAACUGUAGCUAAUACCGGAUACGACCCUCGGCGGCAUCGCCAGGGGGUGGAAAGAAUUUCGGUCAAAGAUGGACUCGCGGCCGAUCAGCCAGUUGGUGAGGUAACGGCUCACCAAGGCGACGACGGGUAGCCGGCCUGAGAGGGUGACCGGCCACACUGGGACUGAGACACGGCCCAGACUCCUACGGGAGGCAGCAGUGGGGAAUAUUGCACAAUGGGCGCAAGCCUGAUGCAGCAACGCCGCGUGAGGGAUGACGGCCUUCGGGUUGUAAACCUCUUUUAGUAGGGAAGAAGCGAAAGUGACGGUACCUGCAGAAAAAGCACCGGCUAACUACGUGCCAGCCGCCGCCGUAA